rnacentral:lncRNA from 1 species
CAUCAAUCCAGUUAUAGAUACAGUUCACAGUACUGGAGUUCAUCUUACAGAAGACCCAAAUGUCGAGUUCGCUUUGGCCGUUCACAUUCAUCCGUAUCCAAAUAACGUGUUGUCGCUCUGGGUUUAUGUUGGAACAUUGACCAGGAAAAUACGGUAUUAUUGACGAGUUAAGGUCAGUGUAUUUCAUGUUGAACCGAUGAGUUGCCCCCGUACCUGUAUAUGAACAGGUUUUGUGAUUGGCUGAAAAUUAUAAUAAAAGACAAACUAUGGGAAUGAUCUUUCUAAAGAAUCGCACACUGCAAAAAAUUAUAAACUUGAGGGGAAAAAACUCAUAAACUUGAGUAAAAAAAUAAUGGAUUAUUCGACUUCCGUACUAAUUUGCAUAUAUCAUCAAUGCAUCAAAUCAGAGAAUUAGACGGUAGGUCGUUUGCUCAAUUGCUGGUUGCAGAACAUAGUGUGUAGAAAUAUUUUAUAGUGUAAUGUGCCUGAUCUAUACUGUAAUUUACUGCCUAUAUAUUCUGUAUUUUUUCGUUUGUUCCUAGUGGCAGUAGUGCGGUAUACUUAUAUAUAGAGUUAAAUAAACAAAUGUCGUAAGAACUAUAACCUCUUCACAAAUAUUGAAAAUGCAGAACUGAAAGCAGGCCAACAUUACAUUAAUUACUUCGGCAGACUUUGUUUUGCUGCCAGCGAAUGGGGCAAGUUGCAAACGACCAACUUUAUUCUCAGAUUUUGCCUUUAACAACGUCGCGUUAUAUAAUUCACUGUUUACAUUACAGUUGAAGUCAUAUUUUAACGUGGUAUAUGCAAAUUACGAAGGAAGUAGAAUAAAUUAUGUUCGUGAUUUCUGACCAUGUUUCUCACUUUGAUACCAGCAGGCUUACCGCCAUCUGCUGCUCGAUAGUGCUUAGAGAAAGUGGUGAACGAAAAGAAGACAAAACUGUUUCCAAAGCAAUUGGCUAUUGCGCUAUGUCAUUUGCGGGGCUCUAUUUUUAUAAAUAGCACACAUGUGUGUAUAUUGUAUAGAAUAUUUAUUAAAACUAAUUUUUAAUGAUGA